UUCCUACGGGGGGCAGCAGUGAGGAAUAUUGGUCAAUGGUCGGGAGACUGAACCAGCCAAGCCGCGUGAGGGAGGAAGGUACAGAGUAUCGUAAACCUCUUUUGUCAGGGAACAAAGACUGGGACGCGUCCCCGGAUGAGUGUACCUGAAGAAAAAGCAUCGGCUAACUACGUGCCAGCAGCCGCGGUAAUACGUAGGGGGCAAGCGUUAUCCGGAAUUACUGGGUGUAAAGGGAGCGUAGACGGUGAUGCAAGUCUGGAGUGAAAGGCGGGGGCCCAACCCCCGGACUGCUCUGGAAACUGUGU
rnacentral:rRNA from 1 species